AUUGGCCAGAGACCGAUAGCGCACAAGUAGAGUGAUCGAAAGAUGAAAAGCACUUUGGAAAGAGAGUCAAACAGUACGUGAAAUUGUUGAAAGGGAAGCGCUUGCAACCAGACUUGCCCGCGGGUGAUCAACCGGUAUUUUUACCGGUGCACUCGCCCGUGGUCAGGCCAGCAUCGGUUUGGGCGGCUGGAUAAAGUCCACUGGAAUGUAGCUCCUCUCGGGGAGUGUUAUAGCCAGAGGUGCCAUGCAGCCCGCCCGGACCGAGGACCGCGCUUCGGCUAGGAUGCUGGCGUAAUGGUUGUAAGCGACCCGUCUUGAAACACGGACCAAGGAGUCUAACAUCUAUGCGAGUGUUUGGGUGUCAAACCCAUGCGCGUAAUGAAAGUGAACGGAGGUGGGAACCCUCAAGGGUGCACCAUCGACCGAUCCUGAUGUCUUCGGAUGGAUUUGAGUAAGAGCAUAGCUGUUGGGACCCGAAAGAUGGUGAACUAUGCCUGAAUAGGGUGAAGCCAGAGGAAACUCUGGUGGAGGCUCGCAGCGGUUCUGACGUGCAAAUCGAUCGUCAAAUUUGGGUAUAGGGGCGAAAGACUAAUCGAACCAUCUGCUACUAGAUGGCAUACGGGCCGGGUGCCCCAGUAGUCCCCGUGCGGCGGGGGCGACAUCGUCGGUCUCUUCGGGAACGCCUCCGGGCUACCCGCAGUGAGCCUCGGGCUCAUCCACAGACUAAGUGGCGGUGGCCGUGCCCUGGAGCACGGUUAGGAUAUAGUCG
rnacentral:rRNA from 1 species